GAGAUACUCCCUCCGUCCGAAAAUACUUGCCAUCAAAAUGAAUAAAAGGGGAUGUAUCUAGACGUAUUUUAGUUCUAGAUACAUUAUUUUCUAUCCAUUUUGAUGACAAGUAUUUUCGGACGAAGGGAGUAAGAA
rfam:Triticum aestivum genome assembly, contig: Triticum_aestivum_CS42_TGACv1_scaffold_249508_3DL